rnacentral:rRNA from 1 species
UCGAGGGGUAUAUCAUUUCGGUGAUAGAGACCGGCGCACGGGUGCGUAACGCGUAUGCAAUCUACCUUUUACAGGGGAAUAGCCCAGAGAAAUUUGGAUUAAUGCCCCAUAGUAUUAUAGAAUGGCAUCAUUUUAUAAUUAAAGUCACAACGGUAAAAGAUGAGCAUGCGUCCCAUUAGUUAGUUGGUAAGGUAACGGCUUACCAAGACUGUGAUGGGUAGGGGUCCUGAGAGGGAGAUCCCCCACACUGGUACUGAGACACGGACCAGACUCCUACGGGAGGCAGCAGUGAGGAAUAUUGGACAAUGGGCGCAAGCCUGAUCCAGCCAUGCCGCGUGCAGGAAGACGCAUCUAUGGUGUGUAAACUGCUUUUGUACAGGAAGAAACACUCCCUCGUGAGGGAGCUUGACGGUACUGUAAGAAUAAGGAUCGGCUAACUCCGUGCCAGCAGCCGCGGUAAUACGGAGGAUCCAAGCGUUAUCCGGAAUCAUUGGGUUUAAAGGGUCCGUAGGCGGUUUAAUAAGUCAGUGGUGAAAUCUGGUCGCUCAACGAUCAAACGGCCAUUGAUACUGUUAGACUUGAAUUAUAAGGAAGUAACUAGAAUAUGUAGUGUAGCGGUGAAAUGCUUAGAUAUUACAUGGAAUACCAAUUGCGAAGGCAGGUUACUACUUAUGGAUUGACGCUGAUGGACGAAAGCGUG